CGGAAACUGGGGAUAAUACCCCAUAGAUCAGGGAUGCUGGAAUGCCUCCUGGUCGAAAGGUGCGCCGCCUGAGGAUGGGUCUGCGGCCGAUUAGGUUGUUGUUGGGGUAACGGCCCAACAAGCCGGUAAUCGGUACGGGUUGUGGGAGCAAGAGCCCGGAGAUGGAUUCUGAGACACGAAUCCAGGCCCUACGGGGCGCAGCAGGCGCGAAAACUUUACAAUGCGGGAAACCGUGAUAAGGGAACUCCGAGUGCCCGUAAAAUCGGGCUGUCCAUCAGUGUAAAAAACUGGUGAAGAAAGGGCCGGGCAAGACCGGUGCCAGCCGCCGCGGUAAUACCGGCGGCUCGAGUGGUGGCCACUAUUACUGGGCUUAAAGCGUCCGUAGCAGGGUUGUUAAGUCUCUUGGGAAAUCUACCGGCUCAACCGAUAGGCGUUCAGGGGAUACUGGCAACCUAGGGACCGGAAGAGGUGAGAGGUACUCCAGGGGUAGGAGUGAAAUCCUGUAAUCCUUGGGGGACCACCUGUGGCGAAGGCGUCCCACCAGGACGGCUCCGACUGUGAGGGACGAAAGCUGGGGGAGCAAACCGGAUUAGAUACCCGGGUAGUCCCAGCUGUAAACGAUGCGCGUUAGGUGUAUCGGUGACCACGAGUCACCGAGGUGCCGAAGAGAAAUCGUGAAACGUGCCGCCUGGGAAGUACGGUCGCAAGGCUGAAACUUAAAGGAA
rnacentral:rRNA from 1 species